CUUUACUAUAGCUUGUCAUUGAAAUUACGUGUUUAUUGUUUAGCCUAGGUGGGAGCCUUUGAAGGUUAGGCGCCAGCUUAACUGGAGGCGACAGGUGAAAUACCACCCUGUAAAAAUGUGAUUUCUAACCAAAAACUAACCUCUUUUGGGACAGUGACUGGUGGGUAGUUUAACUGGGGCGGUUGCCUCCUAAAUGGUAACGGAGGCGUUUAUUAAGGUAGGCUAGGUAUGGAUGGAAAUCAUACCGGUAGUGCAAACGCAUAAGCCUGCUUGACUGCAAGGGCGGCGACCCGCGCAGGUACGAAAGUAGAAGUUAGUGAUCCGAUGCGUUCGAGUGGAAGACGCAAAGCCCAACGGAUAAAAGUUA
rnacentral:rRNA from 1 species